GACGAACGCUGGCGGCGUGCUUAACACAUGCAAGUCGAACGAUGAAGCUAGAGCUUGCUCUGGUGAAUUAGUGGCGAACGGGUGAGUAACACGUGAGUAACCUGCCCCGAACUCUGGGAUAACUGCUGGAAACGGUAGCUAAUACUGGAUACGACCUACGAAGGCAUCUUCUGUAGGUGGAAAGAAUUUCGGUUCGGGAUGGUCUCGCGGCCUAUCAGCUUGGUGGUGAGGUAAUGGCUCACCAAGGCGACGACGGGUAGCCGGCCUGAGAGGGUGACCGGCCAAACGGGGACUGGGACCCGGCGGAGACAGCUAGGGGAGGCAGCAGGGGGGAAUAUUGGGCAAUGGGCGCAAGCCGGCUGCAGCAACGCCGCGUAAGGGAUGACGGCCUUCGGGUUGUAAACCUCUUUUAGUAGGGAAGAAGCGAAAGUGACGGUACCUGCAGAAAAAGCACCGGCUAACUACGUGCCAGCAGCCGCCGUAA
rnacentral:rRNA from 1 species